UGGGGUGCUCGAGUGGCGAACGGGUGAGUAACACGUGAGUAACCUGCCCUUGACUUUGGGAUAACUUCAGGAAACUGGGGCUAAUACCGGAUAGGAGCUCCUGCUGCAUGGUGGGGGUUGGAAAGUUUCGGCGGUUGGGGAUGGACUCGCGGCUUAUCAGCUUGUUGGUGGGGUAGUGGCUUACCAAGGCUUUGACGGGUAGCCGGCCUGAGAGGGUGACCGGCCACAUUGGGACUGGGAUACGGCCCAG
rnacentral:rRNA from 1 species